UACAGACGGUCCAAACGUUAUUCGGAAUCACUGGGCGUAAAGGGUGCGUAGGCGGGUCUUUAAGUCAGGGGUGAAAUCCUGGAGCUCAACUCCAGAACUGCCUUUGAUACUGAGGAUCUUGAGUUCGGGAGAGGUGAGUGGAACUGCGAGUGUAGAGGUGAAAUUCGUAGAUAUUCGCAAGAACACCAGUGGCGAAGGCGGCUCACUGGCCCGAUACUGACGCUGAGGCACGAAAGCGUGGGGAGCAAACAGG
rnacentral:rRNA from 1 species